rnacentral:rRNA from 1 species
CAGCCGCCACGGUAAUACGUAGGUGGCAAGCGUUGUCCGGAAUUAUUGGGCGUAAAGGGCUCGCAGGCGGUUUCUUAAGUCUGAUGUGAAAGCCCCCGGCUCAACCGGGGAGGGUCAUUGGAAACUGGGAAACUUGAGUGCAGAAGAGGAGAGUGGAAUUCCACGUGUAGCGGUGAAAUGCGUAGAGAUGUGGAGGAACACCAGUGGCGAAGGCGACUCUCUGGUCUGUAACUGACGCUGAGGAGCGAAAGCGUUGGGAGCGAACAGGAUUAGAUACCCCAGUAGUCCCUGUCUCUUAUAC